rnacentral:piRNA from 1 species
UCAGAACCGAGUUCAAACUACCUUUAC